AGUUUGAUCCUGGCUCAGGAUGAACGCUGGCGGCAUGCCUAAUACAUGCAAGUCGAACGAGAUGAGAAGAAGCUUGCUUCUUUGAAUCUAGUGGCGAACGGGUGAGUAACACGUAGGUAACCUGCCCAUGUGCCCGGGAUAACUUCUGGAAACGGAUGCUAAAACCGGAUAGGUAGCAGACAAGCAUUUGACUGCUAUUAAAGUGGCCUUGGCCAUGAACAUGGAUGGACCUGCGGUGCAUUAGCUGGUUGGUGAGGUAACGGCCCACCAAGGCGACGAUGCAUAGCCGGCCUGAGAGGGCGGACGGCCACAUUGGGACUGAGACACGGCCCAAACUCCUACGGGAGGCAGCAGUAGGGAAUUUUCGUCAAUGGGGGGAACCCUGAACGAGCAAUGCCGCGUGAGUGAGGAAGGUCUUCGGAUCGUAAAGCUCUGUUGUAAGAGAAAAACGGCACUCAUAGGGAAUGAUGAGUGAGUGAUGGUAUCUUACCAGAAAGUCACGGCUAACUACGUGCCAGCAGCCGCGGUAAUACGUAGGUGACGAGCGUUAUCCGGAAUGAUUGGGCGUAAAGGGUGCGUAGGUGGCAGAUCAAGUCUGGAGUAAAAGGUAUGGGCUCAACCCGUACUGGCUCUGGAAACUGAUCAGCUAGAGAACAGAAGAGGACGGCGGAACUCCAUGUGUAGCGGUAAAAUGCGUAGAUAUAUGGAAGAACACCGGUGGCGAAGGCGGCCGUCUGGUCUGGAUUCUGACACUGAAGCACGAAAGCGUGGGGAGCAAAUAGGAUUAGAUACCCUAGUAGUCCACGCCGUAAACGAUGAGAACUAGGUGUUGGGGGAAUAACUCAGUGCCGCAGUUAACGCAGUAAGUUCUCCGCCUGGGGAGUAUGCACGCAAGUGUGAAACUCAAAGGAAUUGACG
rnacentral:rRNA from 1 species